rnacentral:rRNA from 1 species
GAUGAACGCUGGCGGCGUGCCUAAUACAUGCAAGUCGAACGCUGAAGGAGGAGCUUGCUCUUCUGGAUGAGUUGCGAACGGGUGAGUAACGCGUAGGUAACCUGCCUGGUAGCGGGGGAUAACUAUUGGAAACGAUAGCUAAUACCGCAUGACAACAGUUAUUGCAUGAUAACUGUUUAAAAGGGGCAACUGCUCCACUACCAGAUGGACCUGCGUUGUAUUAGCUAGUUGGUGAGGUAACGGCUCACCAAGGCGACGAUACAUAGCCGACCUGAGAGGGUGAUCGGCCACACUGGGACUUGGACACGGCCCAGACUCCUACGGGAGGCAGCAGUAGGGAAUCUUCGGCAAUGGACGGAAGUCUGACCGAGCAACGCCGCGUGAGUGAAGAAGGUUUUCGGAUCGUAAAGCUCUGUUGUAAGAGAAGAACGAGUGUGAGAGUGGAAAGUUCACACUGUGACGGUAUCUUACCAGAAAGGGACGGCUAACUACGUG